rnacentral:rRNA from 1 species
GGGAAUCUACCUAGUUCUACGGAACAACACAGGGAAACUUGUGCUAAUACCGUAUACGCCCUACGGGGGAAAGAUUUAUCGGAAUUAGAUGAGCCCGCGUAAGAUUAGCUAGUUGGUGGGGUAAUGGCCUACCAAGGCGACGAUCUUUAGCUGGUCUGAGAGGAUGAUCAGCCACACUGGGACUGAGACACGGCCCAGACUCCUACGGGAGGCAGCAGUGGGGAAUAUUGGACAAUGGGCGCAAGCCUGAUCCAGCCAUGCCGCGUGAGUGAUGAAGGCCUUAGGGUUGUAAAGCUCUUUCAGUGGGGAAGAUAAUGACGGUACCCACAGAAGAAGCCCCGGCUAACUUCGUGCCAGCAGCCGCGGUAAUACGAAGGGGGCUAGCGUUGUUCGGAUUUGCUGGGCGUAAAGCGCACGUAGGCGGUUUGUUAAGUCAGGGGUGAAAUCCCGGAGCUCAACUCCGGAACUGCCUUUGAUACUGGCAAGCUAGAGUCCGGAAGAGGUAAGUGGAACUCCUAGU